GUUGAUCCUGCCAGAGGCCACUGCUAUCGGGCUCCGACUAAGCCAUGCGAGUCUAGGGGCUCCUUCGGGAGCACCGGCGGACGGCUCAGUAACACGUGGACAACCUACCCUCGGGUGGGGGAUAACCUCGGGAAACUGAGGCUAAUACCCCAUAGGUCUCGGGUACUGGAAGGUCCUGAGACCGAAAGCUUUGGCGCCCGAGGAUGGGUCUGCGGCCUAUCAGGUAGUUGGUGGUGUAAAGGACCACCAAGCCUACGACGGGUACGGGCCCUGAGAGGGGGAGCCCGGAGAUGGACUCUGAGACACGAGUCCAGGCCCUACGGGGCGCAGCAGGCGCGAAACCUUCGCAAUGCGCGAAAGCGCGACGAGGGGAGCCCGAGUGCCCUUCCUUCGGGGAGGGCUUUUCCGGAGUCUAAAAAGCUCCGGGAAUAAGGGCUGGGCAAGACGGGUGCCAGCCGCCGCGGUAAUACCCGCAGCUCAAGUGGUGGCCACUAUUAUUGAGCCUAAAGCGUCCGUAGCCGGACCCGUAAAUCCCUGGGUAAAUCCUGGCGCUCAACGUCAGGAAUUCCGGGGAGACUGCGGGUCUUGGGACCGGGAGAGGCCGGAGGUACUCCCGGGGUAGGGGUGAAAUCCUGUAAUCCCGGGGGGACCACCUGUGGCGAAAGCGUCCGGCUUGAACGGCUCCGACGGUGAGGGACGAAGGCCAGGGGAGCAA
rnacentral:rRNA from 1 species